UGCCAAGGUGCGGGCAGCAUUCAAUACAGGCAAGACGAGGGACAUCGCUUGGCGUCGAAGGCAGCUUGAGGGCAUCCACAGGA
rnacentral:snRNA from 1 species